rnacentral:lncRNA from 1 species
CUACAGUGGAUAACAACAUAGAGGAACAGCAAGCAAACAUAUGUUUGUGCCAAAUUAAUUUUCUGGUGUUGGUCGUCGACGCAAUCUCCCAAGGCGCCUCCAGGGACCUGACCCUCCAUCAGACUGUUCAUUGUCGUCAUCUCUAGAUUCAGUUUCCCCAUCAUAGGUCUCACCCCAAAGUCUUCUCGAAGGUCGUCUCCUACCAGUUGCCUGAGCUCGAGUCCUUGAGGAGCCUGUCCAGCUACUACUACCUCUCGAAGUUCGUAUCCUACCAGUUGCUUGAGCUCGAGUCCUUGAGGAGCCUGACCAGCUACUACUACCAGAAUUACUCCUAGGCUGGAGAAUCCGAACAAAAAGAAAAACAGUCAGCAAACCACCACCCUCAUCGAAGGUUAAACUGGUGCUCUCACUUCCCUCUUCUCCAACAGAAGACUGCAACGUACUGAGUAAAUCUCCUAAAUCUCUCUGCCGCUCCAAUCUCCGCCAAUUACGCUGCCUCUCUGGGUCAGUUUCUGUAGGCCGUACAAGGGGAUGCUCCUGCCUAGCGUGCUUACGCAGAUCUGUAUAUGCGCCACUGAAUUCGCAUGUCUCGCUAGAGCAGCUUCUUAAUUUUGCAUUCAUGUACCGACGGGCAGAGUCCACGACAAUCCAAUCAUUUAUCUGGCCACGGCAGAGAGGGCAUAGCAUCUUUUUCUUUUCAUGGUUCUCGCAAGACAAGGCACCUAGGGAUAUAGAACCACCUUCAGUUCUUUCACCUGGCAGAUCAGACAGAGCAUCGGUUAUCACUGUGGUAGAUUCCGCGAUAGAAGCUGAACCUGGGAUCUCCACUUGCUGUGUUGUUGCUGAAGCUUCUUCAAAUGACUUUUUGAACUGGUCAAAACAAUUUGAAUGUCUAUAGCUCGUAUCACACAUAAAAGGACGGCAGCCCUUCUCAUGGGAAGUGCACAAAAGGAGAAUAGCAUUAUGAGGAUGUUCCAUACACACUGGGCACCGGGCAUCUUCCCAGUCUUUCACAUUUUUGUCGUUUUCCAAAGGGUUUUUGAGUGACGGUUUUGAGUGACUUGAGCUACAAUGGUAAGGAGAAGCUCUACUCCUAUCAAAAGAAACAGAUCUAUCUCUUCUCUCUUUAGGCAUGUUUGUUUCUAUAUGAAUAUAGAACAACUGUCAAAGGACAAAAGAUAAUAUAAGCAAUGCUGAAAAUAAAAAUCCAAGAAACAUCUUCCUAAAAACCGAUAUAGAAAAAAUAACAAGUGUAUGCACACUACAAGUUAAAGGAGUGGUAAUAAAGGAUAAAAGAAUUUGUGGGUGUAUCCGAAGGACAUUAUACAAACCAGAAAUUAACAAAGAGUCGCAACAUACAUCAGGAAUUAACAAUAGAUAACAGUUGAUGACAGAAAAUUGAUGUAUAAACUAAGCCAGAACUAAGACAUUCCCCCCUAAAAUAGUACAACCAACUAAAAAUUUAAAAUUGACAUCAUAUAACACUCAACAAUCAGCAUAGCUUCAAAUCCUAAAUUAGAUGGGAACUCAUGAUUUCUAUGUAUCAAUUCCUCUAUUUUCAGGCCCGUCCCCUUCCAAUACGAGUAAACAAUUUUUCUUUUAAAACAAUUAGAGUGCUCUAGACCUAAGAUAUAUGUUUCUCACGGCUAUACCCCGACGCUGAGAUACAAUUUCUAACCAGGCAACUGGCAAGCACCAUAUUAAAUGUAAGUAUAACAAACAACCUACACCAAAAGAUCAAACAAUUAAGUAUUGCCAUCAUUUGCUUGUAUUGUGCCAAAUGUGCCUUAUUGGAAUGGAUGUUAGUGUAACCAUUCCUUCCUGGGAUUUUAGGUAUGUAAAAUCCCCUUUUAGUACAUCAAUUACCAUAGUGCCACACCGAUGAACCGAUGCACUGCUUCGAGGUCUUUUGUGGGGACAUGAACAACCUUUUCAAGCUAUCUACUCUCAUUUUAUCCUUUAUGCAUGCUACUUGCAUCCUCCAUCGGAUAAUAUCAUCUCUAAACCAUAUACACAAAAAAGUAUUUGUGAAAAAUUCCAUAAAAUUGAACAAGAGCGGACUGCAGCAAAAAAACCGCUGGACCACAAAGCUUUAGCAUUCUACACUCCUUGAAUCUCGGGAACAUUAAUGUUGCACAUUGCCAUUAAGUUUGCAAAACAUACAAAGAACAUAAGGGAAGCCAGUACUGUCAAGGUGAAAAGGCUCUUUAAGCCAAAUGAAUUCAUCUCCUCCUGAAUUUAUCAGGAGCCAUGAAAACCAUGCUGCAUCUAAUCCAAAUAAAAUUGUGCUCGUCGGAAAAUCCCAUCUCCAGUAUGUGUCAACAUUGUAACACCCAAUAGAUAUGUCUUCAGUCCCACUUAAUGAAUAGCCAUUAAUUAGGGUGACAACUCACGUAUCCUGACCAAAUAUUGCACAUUGUAUGGUUCAGGAUGCACAUAAAAUAUAUGAUACCGUCUUUCACAGCAAUCUAUCUUGCAAGAGCCAUCAGUAGAUAUUAAUUCCCCUCAGCCAUGCAACUAAAAACACAGAAGUUCGGUUUCCCACCAAACUCCUCGGCAUAAUGCAUUUGGGUGAGGUAAUCUGUUGAAACAGAAGAGAACAAUAUCCCAUGUUUUCACUAGCAUCAACCCAAACCGAAGGGAGCAUCCACCCUCACAUGUGGCUCACCAUAAGCAAAAGGCAAAAGUCCACAACAUACCGAGGCUUCAAAACUCAACAAAAAGUCUAAAUCAAUCUUUAUCUGUCAUAUUGAUAAUGAUCCAUUUGAGAACAUCAUUUAUUUGCACACCAAAAGUUUAUUUCUUCUUCCUCAAAACCACAACUACUACACCUCAACCCAAACAAGUUGGGUCGGCUAUAUGAAUCCUCACAUACCACGUUAGUCUAUUUAAAUUCUUCUUCUUCAAUACACCGAUAUAAAAUUCAAAACUUCUUACGUUACCCAUGUCAAAUACAUUUAGUAUACCAAUUUAAUUUAUCAAAAGUUUCCAAGCUCCUGUUGUCAAACGAAUCUCCUAUACCAAUUCACUAAUCGACCAACAGUUUCGCAGAUGAUAAAGUAAACAUAAUCAAAACCAGCAAGAUUCAUCCACCAUGAAACAACCCAUACCAACCGACAUUCACACAACAGAACUAAUCAUUAACAAUCAUAUCAUGUGUAAUUACCUUAUCAACAUAAAACCCAGUGACUAUAAGCAAAGCUCGGAUCAGAAGAAACAUAAUCAAUAAUCUAUUAGCAUUUCUCACUUCCCAACUCCAACAUGCUCACAAGUUCGUAACAGAUUUCAGCUUGAAACAUUAGCUAAAGCACUUCUUCUAUUUAAAACCACUACUACAAAUUCAAACAUAUCCAGUUUCAAUUUAAUAAAUAACAGUUAAACAACCACAACCCUAAAUCAAAUUUCAGCUCAGAACGUUGAUCUCAAGUAAUCCACCAAUCAAGAAUAAAAUCUUUAACAAAAACCCAGUUCCAAUUCAAUACACAAAGCUAAAAUCUUUAACUAGUUUCAGCUCAAAACAGUGAAUUCAAGGACAUAUCCAAACAAAACAAAAUUCCUAAUUUGACCUCAAAGACCAAAACGGUUUCCAAUUUAAGAGCUCGUAUCCGAUUUAAACCCUAAUUUCAACUUCAAAUUCUUAAACCAAAUCCAAUCUUCUGAAUAUAUCAUAAAAACAACCAAAACCCACAUCUAAAAACCAUCGAUUAAAAAGGCCUAAUCUUUACUUCAAACACAAAACUCAAUUCAAAUUCAUCGAACAAACACCAAAAAAACAGAAACCCAGAUCUAACAACGAGCUUUAAACAAUCGAUAUACAAUCAGAAGGCAGUUUAACGCCAAAAAUAGCUAAAAUAAACAGAUCAAAAUAAAUAAAUAAAACUUCGCCACAAAUUUAUAUUUAUCUUCCUUUAACGCUUUACCAGAAGUUUACAGAAACAGAUCUGAAACAGAGCUAACCAAAACUUCUUUCUGAUUUGAUAGUCCGAAGAAAUUAUUUUGAAACCCUAAUCUUGAAAUUUUGAAAAGGCUGCAGCUGAGUUGAAGCUGCUCCUUUGACUCUUCGAUGAGAAUGAAAAGA